rnacentral:rRNA from 1 species
GACGAACGCUGGCGGCGUGCCUAAUACAUGCAAGUCGAACGCAGUGGGGAAGGGUGCGUAACAAGUGGGUAACCUCCCAUCAGAGGGGAUAAAACUUGGAAACAGGUGCUAAACCGCUACUGAUGGAUGGACCCGCGGUGCAUUAGGUAGUUGGUGGGGUAACGGCUCACCAAGGCCACGAUGCCUAGCCGGCCUUAGGGGGUGAGCGGCCACACUUGGACGGAGACACGGCCCAGACUCCGACGGGAGGCCGCAGUAGGGAAACAUCGGCAAUGGGCGACAGGCUUACCGAGCAACGGCGGGUGAUAGAAGAAGGGUUUCGGGUCGUAAAGCUCUGUUGUUAAGGAAGCGGUACUUAACCAGAAAGCGACGGCUAACUACGUGCCAGCCGCCGCGGUAAUAC